rnacentral:tRNA from 1 species
GCGAGAGUGGCGAAACUGGCAGACGCACUGGACUUAGGAUCCAGCGCACCUAGUGUGUAGGGGUUCAAAUCCCCUCUCUCGCA